rnacentral:rRNA from 1 species
UACGUAGGGUGCAAGCGUUAAUCGGAAUUACUGGGCGUAAAGCGUGCGCAGGCGGUUCGCUAAGACAGAUGUGAAAGCCCCGGGCUUAACCUGGGAACUGCGUUUGUGACUGGCGGGCUGGAGUGCGGAAGAGGGAGGUGGAAUUCCACGUGUAGCAGUGAAAUGCGUAGAGAUGUGGAGGAACACCGAUGGCGAAGGCAGCCUCCUGGUCUAGCACUGACGCUCAUGCACGAAAGCGUGGGGAGCAAACAGG